UAUCCGGCUGGGACUAAGCCAUGCGAGUCAAGGGGCUUGUAUCCCUUCGGGGAUACAAGCACCGGCGGACGGCUCAGUAACACGUGGACAACCUGCCCUCGGGUGGGGGAUAACCCCGGGAAACUGGGGCUAAUCCCCCAUAGGGGAUGGGUACUGGAAUGUCCCAUCUCCGAAAGCGCUCAGCGCCCGAGGAUGGGUCUGCGGCGGAUUAGGUUGUUGGUGGGGUAACGGCCCACCAAGCCGAAGAUCCGUACGGGCCAUGGGAGUGGGAGCCCGGAGAUGGACCCUGAGACACGGGUCCAGGCCCUACGGGGCGCAGCAGGCGCGAAACCUCCGCAAUGCGGGAAACCGCGACGGGGUCAGCCGGAGUGCUCGCGCAUCGCGCGGGCUGUCGGGGUGCCUAAAAAGCACCCCAUAGCAAGGGCCGGGCAAGGCCGGUGGCAGCCGCCGCGGUAAUACCGGCGGCCCGAGUGGCGGCCACUUUUAUUGGGCCUAAAGCGUCCGUAGCCGGGCUGGUAAGUCCUCCGGGAAAUCUGGCGGCUUAACCGUCAGACUGCCGGAGGAUACUGCCAGCCUAGGGACCGGGAGAGGCCGGGGGUAUUCCCGGGGUAGGGGUGAAAUCCUGUAAUCCCGGGAGGACCACCUGUGGCGAAGGCGCCCGGCUGGAACGGGUCCGACGGUGAGGGACGAAGGCCAGGGGAGCGAACCGGAUUAGAUACCCGGGUAGUCCUGGCUGUAAACGAUGCGGACUAGGUGUCACCGAAGCUACGAGCUUCGGUGGUGCCGGAGGGAAGCCGUUAAGUCCGCCGCCUGGGGAGUACGGCCGCAAGGCUGAAACUUAAAGGAAUUGGCGGGGGAGCACUACAACGGGUGGAGCCUGCGGUUUAAUUGGAUUCAACGCCGGGAAGCUUACCGGGGGAGACAGCGGGAUGAAGGUCGGGCUGAAGACCUUACCAGACUAGCUGAGAGGUGGUGCAUGGCCGCCGUCAGUUCGUACUGUGAAGCAUCCUGUUAAGUCAGGCAACGAGCGAGACCCGCGCCCCCAGUUGCCAGCGGUUC
rnacentral:rRNA from 1 species